rnacentral:rRNA from 1 species
GACGGCUUCUCGGAGCCGGCGCGACUUGCCGAUGUUGAGAAGCUUCGUGAGCUUCCGCACCGGUGUGGGCGCCGUCAACGUCCUCAUGAAGGAGAUCUCGACGGCCGUAUCGAACGCCGCGAAGAGCGCCUGGUGCCGGGGGUCACCCCACUCGAGGAGCGUGGAGCUCUCGACGCCGAAGGCGACGUAGCAGAUGUUGUCAAACGCGAACCGACGCAGCGCCUCCUGCAGGUCGACGACCUCGCCGGACCCCGCGGCGCCAUCGAGGAACGGCAGGAAGCGACGGCCGAGGUGAACGGCGAGGACGUCUUCGCUGAAACGCCGUAGCGAGCGGGAGGAGAAAGCGUAUGACGCCAGCUUGCGCUGGAGGCUCCAGAGGCGGCCAUCGGCGCCGAAGAGGCCGUCGCCGAUGAGGUCGGACUGCGCCGCGCGGAAUUGCGCGCCACGGUUGUAGUUGGCGAAGCUUGCGCGCAGCAGGUGGUCGACGGCGGCCGGGUCGGCGGUGGUCACGGCGUGGCUGGCGCCCAAGGCCCCCCACGCCUCGAUGGUGUUGGACGGCGACGCGCGCAGCAUGUCGGCGUACCAGUCGAAGAACCUCCCGCGGUUGCGGAUGAACUCCACGGUGUUGCCCAGAACGGGGUUCGGGUGAGGACAGUACGCCGUUCUUGGCUUCGUCGACGGAGAAACUCGGCGGCGCUGGACAUAAAGUACGACGGCGGCGAAGAGGAAGAGGAGCACGUACGCGAGGUGCGCGAUCUCCAUGGUUGA